rnacentral:lncRNA from 1 species
CCUCAGCCUCAUCUCCAGCCCCUUGCCUCCUCCUGGCCCUGGCACCCCUGCCAAGUGAGGAGUCGGGGGCCCUGCGGAGGUGCUCAGAGCCAGGGCAGUGCCAGGGGCAGCCCUCGCACCGUCCUCCACUGGCUGCCCGCCCGCCCCCUCGCAGCCGCCACACGUAUCUCAGCUGUCACAUCCGAUUAGGGCUCCUGCCCACUGAGCCGGACAAGGAGGCCACGGGGCAGGGGAGAGACGCGGGCAAGGACGCGGAGGAGCGGGCUGCCAGGGGGAGGUGGGGGCAGGCUCAGGGAGGAAGAGCCUGGCGGGACUGCUGGCCUCUGACCACCAGCACCCAGGUGGGCAGGCGGGCGGCUGGGCAGGGGACAGAGACAGUCUGCGCGCGUGUGGGGAACUCGGCAGGCCCUGGGGCUUCAGCUGUGCCUGCCGCCUCUGUCCUCCCAGAAGGGCGAGGAUGCCGGAAGGAAACCAGAGGCAGAGACAGUGACCUAGAUUCGGGCGAGGUCCCAGGCUCCAGCUCUCCAGCCUAACCCCCACCUGCACCGUGCUUCACCACGCAUUGUUGCGGGGGCUCUUGGGCGGCGUCCGCCAGGCAAACCAGCCGGAGCGGAGCUCCAGUUUAGGCCUCAGAUUGGAACCCGCAGCUUCCUCCUCAGACCAGGAGCAGCACCCAGUCUACGCCGCUCCACCAUCUACCCUUCCCGGCAAAACUAACCUUCGGGCACCUGAGAGCUACAGGGACAGAGCACACCCUCCCCCGGACAGUUAUCCGAUGGCUUGCACACGCACACAUGCACACGCGCACACACGCACACACACGGCCGGAGGGACUCCCUCAGGGUGAGACCAGUCUCUCUGCACCCUCUGGCCGGUCUGCGACCCCAGAAGCUAAGUCUCGGCAGUCCUCUAUGCCCACCACGCCAGAGCCUGAUGCCGGGGUCUUCCCAGAGCAGGUCCGGCCCGCCCACCACGGACACAGGAAUAAGCCCCAGUGCACACGGGGCGCCAUGCAGCCCUCUGCCGGGGCGCCUGGGAGACCUGGGGACCUCCCAGCUCUGGGGUGGCACAGGAGCCCGAGGAGCCGAAAGCCAAGGAGCCCAGGGAGCUGGCACGGCUGCCUGACCUCGCCGAGCCGGUGCACACCCGCUUCCCGGGCCAUCUGGAGCGAGCCUGUCCCGGCCCGGGCCCUCGUCUGCUUCCCUCCAGGAAGCUCCCUCCAGAACUUACUGCUCCGCAGCCACAUGGUCUGCACGCGCACGCACACGCGCGCACACACACACACACACACACACACACACACACUCUCUCGAGCACGCAGAGGGCAGGGGCUCUGCAGGAGCCGGGAGGCGCCGGCGAGCGUGGAUGGAGGCUCCGGGGAGCCCGGAGAACUUUCCCCAGAGGAGGCGCUCCCCAGAGCGCUCGGAGGCUCCGGCGAAGCCGCGCUGGCCGGCCGGGGAGCAGCCUCUCUGGGGACGCCGGUCCCCUGGCAGGCGGGCAAGGCGCCGGGGACAGCCCUGCCCGCCGCGCUGGGAGGCGGAGAGGAAGCCGGGAGAACCCCGCGCCGCCCCUCCCCGGCUAGGUCAGCGGGUGCAGCGCUAAGCCUGCCGGGGAGACGGUGGGCCCUGGGCCGAGGACCAAAUAGGACCCCGGAAGGAUCCCCGGGCUCGGACGCAACCUAUGAAGGACUCGGGCUGAAGACAGGACGCGACAGAGACAUUGCUUCCCGCCUGAGGGCUGCAGAGAGAGUGGGGCUGGGGCCAGAGGUGAGGCUGAGGUCUUCCCACCUCCACGCCUGCGGACCCCUUUCGGCCCUGAGCAUCCAGGCACAGGAACUCUCCUUUGUCCUUGUCCUCAGACUACAGCGGUCCACCUGCUCGCCCCACUGUUCGGUACCCAGGAGGACAUGGGGGGGCUUGAUUUUAUCAAGGGAGGAGGGCAGGAUGACUUAGAUGGUGCCAGAAGUGGGAGUCCUGUCUCCUUAGGCUGAGGCAAGUAUGUUUGCUGUGUGUAGGGUAUGCAGAUAUACAGCUGAGGCUCCCAGCAGAUGCGCUAAGGGACAAGGGAGACAACCGGAAAAGGCUCUGGAUUACAUCCAUAACUAGUUUGUUUUGGUUUGUUUUUCUUCCAGUACCAGGAAUCGAACUCACGACCUUGCACUUGCCAGGCAGGCACUUUGCCGCUGAGCUAAAUCCCCAGCCCCUACAUCCAUAACUAGAAAUGGCCAGGCCUGUUGUAAUCCUGGCACUCGAGGAGGCUGAGGCAGGAGGAUAACAAGUUUGUGGCCAGCCUGGACCAAUAGCAAGACCCUGUCUCGAAAAAAAAAAAAAAAAAAAAACACCACCAAAAAAGCAAAUCAAAAACAAAACAAAACAAAACCUAGAAAUGGCAAUUGCCCGUAGACAGGAUGCAGAACCCAGAGGUUGUUAGCGUCCUGACCCAGCUCUCAGUAGGGUCCUGAGCCUGUAUGAACAGAACAAGAAGUUAGCAAGUGUUUUCCCAGGGAUUAUUUUGAGUACAUAUAGGGGGUAGAGGGGCUUUGCUUGGUUUUGGGUUUUGAGAUAGGGUACCACUGUGUAGUUCAGGCUGGCCUUGAAUUCACUAUGUAGCCCAGGCUGAUCUCAAACUCCUGGUAAUCCUCCUGCCUCGGCCUCCUGAGGGCUGGGAUUACAAGUGUGCACCACCACACCCAGUGGAAAGAGGGCUUUUUAAGGUGCAGGGUAGUUGACCCCAAGGUCUCACAAAUGCUACAUAAGCCCUUGAGGAACCUGACACAAUGGAUCAACUUCAAGGUCACUGGUUCGGUUUAGGAAACCAGCUUUCUCUGAGGCUCAGAAGGGAGCCUUCAGGAGUGGGGGGCAGGUGGGGAAGGGAAAAGUGGGUUAAAGUCUGCACAGUCCUGGCCCGAGAAUAAGCGGGGGUUGAGCCUGGGGCCUUUGCACUGUGCUAUGUCUUCCUCACACCCUUUUUUGGGGGCAGGACUCGGUCUCACUAUGUCACUCAGUUGCCCAGGUUGGGCCUUGAAUGCACGAUCGUCCUGCUUCAGCCUCCCAGAGUGCUGGGAUCAUAGACCUGUGCCACCAGGCCAGGCUGGCUGCAGAACAUUUUGCAAGGAGAGUUGCACAUUCUCUCUCGGAGGAGAGCAGGGCAAAUGUCAUGGGGCGAAGGGCUGGGCGAAGUCCGGGACAGACCUGAGGGAAGGGUGAGGGCACUGGCCACGGCCCUGCCCUUUCUGUGCAGCAGGAAAAAGCAGGCCGGGGUCCUAGACAGCGAGGACCGGGGCCGGGGUGGAGCCUCGGGGUGAGCUUAGGUCAAGCCGCUCAUCCUAACGUGCCUGGGUUCUCUCCCAGCUGUUAAACAGGGCUCCGGGUUCUUCCCAGGCAGUUAAUGAGUGUUUACAGAAGGGCUUGGAGAUCCUCAGAUCUCAGCUGGGCCCCCGCUGCCGCUACAAAGCCCAAGGGGGCUGCAUGCUAUUUGGGGAGGGCGCGAGGAUGGAGGAGACCAUGCGCUGGUAAACUGAGGAAGAGCCGGAGCUCCGCCGAGCUGCGCUGGCCCGGCCGCCGCAGGAUAUCCUUGUGCCCAGGGAUGGAGGUCACCCCCCCAGCCCUAACCACCACCGCAGGCCGGGCUCCAGCGCGCUGGAGGCAGAACCCAGACGGGCAGCUGGUCUUCAUUAACUGCAGCUCUCGCACCCCCCACCGGGAACCCGCAGCUUCUCCGGGCCCAGGCUGUGGGGGUGUGGGGGCGCCCUGGCCCGACCUUGCAGCUGGCACUGGCUGGGGCCACCGUGCCGAAGACCAGGUCACCGGCUGCGGAGAAAGUCCGGCCGCACGGAAAGCCGAGCGCGGCUCCCCGCUCUCCCGUUGGGAGCAGGGAGGAAGGGAGGGCGCCGAGGGGUGUGGGGGUGAGCGCUGGAGGUGGGGGAAUUUAGGGCAAACAGCGGGAGUGAAGUCAGCUGGAUGGAGGCCCAGAAAACCCCCACCCCCUGGGGCCAAGUCUUACUCCAGCUCGCUCUCAGCUCCUCUUGGCCCGGCCCCAAACGAGGAGGGCCCUGGCUGCCCCUCGCCGCCCCGCCCCCACCUUAUUAAAUACACAUUUUAUCUCUCAGCAUCUUCAUUAUCUUAACCGAAGGAGACAGCGGUGCAUGGUGGCAGCGCAGCGCGUCAGGAGGGGGCGGGGUGGGGAGCAGCGGGCGCACCCUGCUUGCAAAGUGCUGAUCCAGCUCUUUCGGGCAGUGUGGGAAACAGAGGCGGGAUCAAAGGGAGCGGGACUGAUUCAGAACUCAAUUAGGGCUUUUUCAAAAACGGAGCUGCCUCCUCGCUCCUUUGCCAGUCUUCAGCCGUUCCCCAAUUAGCUCCUCCUGCAGGUGCCUUGGGGCCGGGGCUGGGAAUCCAGGGGAGCCUGCGGGGCGCUUGCACCCUCUGCCCUGUGGAAUGCGCCUCCGGUGACAGCCCCAGAGAACGCCUCUUGGGCAGGAAAGGAGACCACGACUUGGCCCCGAAGCUAAGGGGCAGUAAACCCAAGGUGGGGUCCUCCCCAGCCCGUGCCAACCAGGGCUGGCGUGGUUUUAGGCCACCUCUAGGGAUGCCCCGUUCCAGCCCAGAGGCCAAGCGUGCACCCCAAAGGCAAAGCUUCUCCAAAGCAACGUGGAGAUGCCGAGACAGGACACAGCUACUUCAGAGGGGCUGAUCGGGUGGCUUGUGAGGCCAGCACCCCUGCUUGGGAAGGCUGCUCCCCGUCAGCGCAGACACCAGCGGCCUUGCCCCCACUCUCUGCAAGACGGCCAGAGGCAGCUGCUUGCUUGGUCCAUGUACCUGCUCACUCACAAUUAUCCAGUACUCACCAGGUACCCUAACGCUGGAGACAGACACAAAUGUGCAGAGAAUCUUAAUCUUGGGGGUGGUAGGAAGCGUGGUGUGCAGGAAGACCUGGGUUCGAUCUUCAGGAUGCUGGGGGAAACCUCAGCCUGCGCUCUGUUUGCUCACACAGUACUUAGGGAACAGCUCUGAGUAGAUUUUUGAAAACAUGGCCCAGGCCUAAGUCAUAUCAUAUUUCCACUUCCUGAUUUUUUUUUUAGAAGGAAGGUACUGGGACGGAAAGCAAGGCCUCCGCACUGAGCUACAUCCCAGUCCAUUUUAUUUGUUUUCAGUCUUGCUAAGCCCAGUGCAGGCUGGACUUGCACUCGAAAGUCCUCCUGCCUCAGCCUCCCACAGUGGCACUUCCUGUAAUGGUCUAUGUUGGGCAGCUAAGUGUUCAAGCUAAAAUCAACUUCAUUGUCUGAGUUCUUUCCAUGGCCCAUAACACUCAACACUCCCUGGAAGCACAGUCUACUUAAAAAAGAUAAACCAAGACACAGCCACCACCUAUGAAGGAAUGUAGGUCAGCACCUCUGCCGCCAUCCUAUGUGUGUGCAGCGGCCGAGGUCCCGGCAAAAGCUGCGAACCGUGGGCCUGUCCCAGCCCUCUGAACCCCGACCGUUCUCGGCUUCAGCAAGGGGGCCUCGUCUUCCUCUCCCCCGGUGUCUGAAUUACACUUAAGACUUCACUGACAACCUCCAUCAGCUUUUGCUCCCUAAAGGGCAGCGGGAGCCAAGCGGGGACUCGGUCUGCUUCACACAUCAGAGGAACCAGCUGCUGGAGCCUUAAGAGUAGCAGUGGCCUAGAAAUUGGCGGUGGGUAAGUGCAGAAAGGAAACCAGCGAGCCAGCACCCAGGAAGCCCCUUUCCAGUAGCAGGGCACGGGGAGACAGGAGGCGGAGGGGAAGCAACGUGGCCCCUUUGAAUCCCCCAAUGUGAUCCUGGCCAGGGAGGCGCCGCAGCUGCCGCGCCGGCCGGAGUCCAGCCAUGUCCAGCCUGGUUCGAGACUCACGCGAGCCUGCAGUGGAGGGGAAGGCGCCAGGCCCCAAGCGUGGCGAGGCGGGCUGCCGCUUGCUCCUUCCUGGACAAGAUCUGCAGAGCAGACAGCAGCUGCCCACAGUGUGGAAACAAACUGUAAGGCAGCCCCAUCUCUUAAGGCCGCAGCAUCCAAUAAAAUGUAACUUAAAUCCAGCCUCGCAUCUGCUCCCAAUC